rnacentral:rRNA from 1 species
CCUACGGGGGGCUGCAGUGAGGAAUAUUGGUCAAUGGGCGGAAGCCUGAACCAGCCAAGUAGCGUGAAGGAUGACUGCCCUAUGGGUUGUAAACUUCUUUUAUAUGGGAAUAAAAUGUUCCACGUGUGGGAUUUUGUAUGUACCAUAUGAAUAAGGAUCGGCUAACUCCGUGCCAGCAGCCGCGGUAAUACGGAGGAUCCGAGCGUUAUCCGGAUUUAUUGGGUUUAAAGGGAGCGUAGGUGGAUUGUUAAGUCAGUUGUGAAAGUUUGCGGCUCAACCGUAAAAUUGCAGUUGAAACUGGCAGUCUUGAGUACAGUAGAGGUGGGCGGAAUUCGUGGUGUAGCGGUGAAAUGCUUAGAUAUCACGAAGAACUCCGAUUGCGAAGGCAGCUCACUGGACUGCAACUGACACUGAGGCUCGAAAGUGUGGGUAUCAAACAGGAUUAGAUACCCUGGUAGUC